rnacentral:lncRNA from 10 species
AAACCCAGCCCUCCCGAGCAGGAAAGGACGGCAGGAAUCAUCUGGUUUACACCGCGUCAGACUGCCGCCCGCAAUCUCCGUCAUCAAAGCAGGCAACCCUGUAGAGGAUGCCUUUCCCUGGAAUGAUCCGGAAUGGACGACACCUGAGCUCUCUCUGCCAAUCUUAGCAACAUCCAAGGCCAUUAUCCCUUUGAAAACUAUGGCUUCGUUUGGGACAAAAAGGAAGUAACUUACGAAAUGUGACCAGUCAGGUAGUUCCCUACACGAGGCUUCCUGGCCCAAUUUCUGUUGCCAUUAGCUUUUCAUCACCCAAGGCCGCAGGAUUUUCUGACCAGUAAUUUGGAUACCUAUAUUCUUAUACAUGUUGGCGAGGUAGGUGCGCCAUACAGUCUCCACCACAUUCUAGCACAAGCAGUCAUUAAACUUCACUCUAGCAUAAGUUAAGAAUUCAGACUGCAGUGAGAUGGCUAAGAGCAUGAAAGAUCUGCUCGAUUCAAGUGUUAGGAGCUUGAAUAAGUUUCUUAAUUUCUCUGCCUCAUCUAUUAACACAGGACUGACAAUACAGUUUAUAUAGAGUUGUUGCCAGAAUUAAAGGAGUUGAUGUAUGUGAAGCACUUAACUCGGUAACUGGCACAUCGUAGAUGACUCAGUAAAUGCUAUUACCCUUACACAUACAAGUGCCGUUUCAUACUCAGUUUGACUUGGCAAGCCUUUCCCAACCGCUUCAGGUGCCUUCCUGUUUUGUCCUCAAUUACUGUACAAAUAUUUUCUGAGGAUCUGUUACCUGCAUGUGCCAAUUAUGGAAAUAAAAUCUUCUAGUCUUUACUGGAAUCCUGCCUUUUAAUUUAAAUUCAACAGAGGUCUUCUAAAUUUAGACUUCUUAGAAAAGUCUGCCAUGUACAAAGCGUUGCUUAUGCAACCUCUCGUGUGCAUACGAGUUAAAUGGGUGCCAGUGUUAUUUACUCUUAGCCAAUAUAGCUCAGCUGGGCACUGUUUUGACCUCGAGUUGUACGCCCCCACCCUGGCUUCCCAAGUGACUGCCUCCCUCGUUUUACCCUACUCCCAACCUUUUUUUCCACCUAGCAAUUUUAUACCCUAUCCAGUCACUACCCGCCACCCUCCAUCCUCUACCCAAACUGACAUUACCUUUUUUGACUGGUCUUUUUCUCUCCUCAAUCAAAUGUUAAUAUUUCUAUGACAUAAUUUCACUCCUGUGGUUCUCUUAUGGGCAUAAUGGUAUAGUAGAAUGU